rnacentral:rRNA from 1 species
UACAGAGGGGGCAAGCGUUUGUUCGGAAUUACUGGGCGUAAAGGGUUUGUAGGUGGCUUGUUAAGUCAGACGUGAAAUCCCUCAGCUUAACUGGGGAACUGCGUCUGAUACUGGCGAGCUUGAGUGCAGGAGAGGAACGCGGAAUUCCAGGUGUAGCGGUGAAACUGCGUAGAUAUCUGGAGGAACACCGGUGGCGAAGGCGGCCCGCUGGGCAGGAAGAUCUCGUAAGGGAUCGGCUGACGCUGAGGCGCGACAGCGUGGGGAGCAAACAGG